rnacentral:rRNA from 1 species
CCUACGGGAGCUGCAGUGGGGAAUAUUGGACAAUGGGCGAAAGCCUGAUCCAGCCAUGCCGCGUGUGUGAAGAAGGCCUUCGGGUUGUAAAGCACUUUCAGUGGGGAAGAAAGCCUUGGGGCUAAUACCCUCGAGGAAGGACAUCACCCACAGAAGAAGCACCGGCUAACUCCGUGCCAGCAGCCGCGGUAAUACGGAGGGUGCGAGCGUUAAUCGGAAUUACUGGGCGUAAAGCGCGCGUAGGCGGUCUGAUAAGCCGGUUGUGAAAGCCCCGGGCUCAACCUGGGAACGGCAUCCGGAACUGUCAGGCUAGAGUGCAGGAGAGGAAGGUAGAAUUCCCGGUGUAGCGGUGAAAUGCGUAGAGAUCGGGAGGAAUACCAGUGGCGAAGGCGGCCUUCUGGACUGACACUGACGCUGAGGUGCGAAAGCGUGGGUAGCAAACAGGACUAGAUACCCUGGUAGUC